UCCGGUUUAUCACCGGCAGUCACCUUAGAGUGCCCAACUUAAUGCUGGCAACUAAGAUCAAGGGUUGCGCUCGUUGCGGGACUUAACCCAACAUCUCACGACACGAGCUGACGACAACCAUGCACCACCUGUCACUUUGUCCCCCGAAGGGGAAAGCCCUAUCUCUAGGGUUAUCAAAGGAUGUCAAGACCUGGUAAGGUUCUUCGCGUUGCUUCGAAUUAAACCACAUGCUCCACUGCUUGUGCGGGCCCCCGUCAAUUCCUUUGAGUUUCAACCUUGCGGUCGUACUCCCCAGGCGGAGUGCUUAAUGUGUUAACUUCGGCACUAAGGGCAUCGAAACCCCUAACACCUAGCACUCAUCGUUUACGGCGUGGACUAC
rnacentral:misc_RNA from 1 species